UAUUUAUUUUAAACGCCACGGCUAUCUCCAUUCCAGUUCAUUGUGAAAUCCCUCGUCUGCUGUGUGAUGCAUUCAGGGGCCCGAGGCCCGAGGGAGACAUUUGCAAAAGUACGUAAACGCUGAUGAUGUAAAAGUGAUGCCAUCAUGGUUGGCUGAGCUUGGAUUUGAGAGGGGGGGGAAAAAACAAAACAAUCUUCUCCAACUGGAGGAGUGAGGAUUAUACCGUUGCAUCAUGGGAAAUGUAAGAUACAGUGUUUAUGCAGCUCAUGCCAAACUAGACAUCCUAAAUACUAAAUAUGCUAUAAUUUCAACUUGCUUUCAAACAACCAACAUCACACAGAAUCAUGCAAGAAUAAUAAAAUGAAAGAAGUUUCCACUCGCAUGUAGAACUUUGAUCAAACAAAGGAGGGAAAAACAAAAAUCCCACGCACCCAAAAGAAUUACCCGCUAGCUUUCAGUUCCUCUGCGACUGCAGGUUUCCGCGUGCCAGCGCCAAUUAUAAGCAGCCCAUUAUUCAUAAAUAAUUUUAAAUUAUACAUACUGUUUUUAGACCCUGUGAUAAUUCCUAAUUAGUCACUAUGUUGAUGAAAUAUCUGGUGGUAUAUCAGCGAGGAACAGCAAAUGAGGCCCAGAUGCCCAGUGAAAGCUUUGUCUAAUAAAGCUAACAGAAGUUACUCUGAUCUCUCUCUCUCUCUUGCAGUGUGUAUGUCAGUGUGUCUGUACACACAUACAAAACAGUUGUUUGUUCUUCAUUAUUUCUGUGUCCUGCUCCUGGCACACUGCACAGCCAGCCUGGCAGCCAAUUGCUCCCAUGACCCUGCAGUCUUGCCACGCUAACAAGCUAGCGGCCACACAAACCGCCGCUGAACCGGUCGGCUAGCGAGCGCUCAGAGAGAAACAGCAAAAACAAAUAAGCUUCAGGUGAAUAAAAGCAACUGUGUAUGUUGGACAACUGCCGUUCCCUCGUGGCUUUUGUUAGUAGGCGAGAAGAUUAGGACAGCAGUACAGUUAUUGAAGCAUCAUGUUUUCUGCAAAAGACAUAUUUGCUCCGACUCUGUCAAUAUCACAAAUGCACGGGGGAACCUGAGCCACUCCCUCUUUACCCAAACACUCCGUCUUUCCCCACCACAGAGCAGCGAGAGCGAGCGAGCGAGCGAGCGAGGCAGAAGGAGAAGCGGAGCAGAGCUGAGCGGGACACAACAGACUUCAUGAUGAAUUACAUGAUCACCUGCUAUGCCUCAGAGCCUUUCAUUCAGACAGAUGAGGCAGGCCGGGGGCAGGUGGCCGCAGCCCCCAAACAGCUCUGUCUAAACAACCAACUGGAUGAGGUGCCGAAGAAACUUCACUCACAUCCCCGCUACCUCGCCGACGUCUCUUGCAGGGCGCUCGGGCUUUCUCACGUCUCCUUGUGUUACAACCACAAACUUCAGUAUCCCGAGCAGUUCAUCCAUGCUGGAUCUACCUGAGCGUUGUGCGCAAGCGGUUUGAUUGGCAGCAGACUACAUCCGUUUAGUGGCCUGUGGAUUAAACGACUGGACAGCAACGAGCAAAUAUAAGGAGAGAUUGAAGAGAAACUGGCCACUCAAAGGUACAUUGAUUGGCGGCAGACUGCAAUCGAUGAUUUGGCCGGUAGAUUUACGUCAGCAACAUCUCGACCACCAUUGUCAAUCUACAUCAAGACUGUAGUAGUUGGGCAGGGUGGCGAGGUAUAAAUUCAUAAUUCCAUGGUGAAACCUUGUGGUCCAAAUCUUUCUAUCAAUUGUGGCAGAAGAGCACAUCCAGAGUCAAGUGGAUGGGACACGAACAAAUAUACUAAGAGAUUUCAAAGAAAUUUCAGAGAAAUCUAUUGGUAGACAUUUUGAGCAUCUACCCAGGGGUAAACGACUCCACAAGGAGUGGAGUUUUGACCACAGCUCCUCCAAGUUUCCCACAUUCCUCCCAGGCUCCGGCCCACAUUCACACCCACUGAGAGGAGCUCACUACCAAUGCAGACACAGACAAUUUGGCUAAAACCAAAUCAAACAUUAACCGGCCAGAGUGAGACUUGACAAUGGAGGAGAAAGGGCUUCAGAGAACGUUAGUGAACAAACAGCCGAGGUCAAAGAACACAACAGAAAGGUCAGGGAGAAGAAGUU